GAGGGCCCCAAGCGUUAUCCGGAUUUAUUGGGCGUAAAGAGCGCGUAGGUGGUCCGACACGUCUCGUCGAAAAUCCCUGGGCUUAACCCAGGACUCGGGCGAGAUACGAUCGGACUAGAGGGUGUGAGAGGCUACUGGAACUCAUGGUGUAGGGGUGAAAUCCGUUGAUAUCAUGGGGAACACCAAAGGCGAAGGCAGGUAGCUGGCACAUUCCUGACACUCAGUGCGCGAAAGCGUGGGCAUAAAAAAGGAUUAGAUACCCUUGUAUUCCACGCCCUAAACGAUGCACACUAGCUGUUUCGAGUAUCGACCCUCGGAGUGGCGUAGCUAACGCGUUAAGUGUGCCGCCUGGGAAGUACGGCCGCAAGGCUA
rnacentral:rRNA from 1 species